GCUCAGGACGAACGCUGGCGGCGUGCCUAAUACAUGCAAGUAGAACGCUGAAGAGAGGAGCUUGCUCUUCUUGGAUGAGUUGCGAACGGGUGAGUAACGCGUAGGUAACCUGCCUUGUAGCGGGGGAUAACUAUUGGAAACGAUAGCUAAUACCGCAUAACAAUGGAUGACACAUGUCAUUUAUUUGAAAGGGGCAAUUGCUCCACUACAAGAUGGACCUGCGUUGUAUUAGCUAGUAGGUGAGGUAAUGGCUCACCUAGGCGACGAUACAUAGCCGACCUGAGAGGGUGAUCGGCCACACUGGGACUGAGACACGGCCCAGACUCCUACGGGAGGCAGCAGUA
rnacentral:rRNA from 1 species